rnacentral:rRNA from 1 species
UGGUGGAGUGAUUUGUCUGGUUAAUUCCGUUAACGAACGAGACCUCGACCUGCUAAAUAGUUCGUGGAAUCUUCGGAUCCCACGAUACUUCUUAGAGGGACUAUCGGCUUGUAGCCGAUGGAAGUUCGAGGCAAUAACA